AUUGCUUUCAGCCUUUUGACUAAGAUCAAGUGUAGUAUCUGUUCUUAUCAGUUUAAAGUGGUUGGAGUUAGUUCAUCUUUGAAUGUUUUAUAGAAUUCAGUAGUAAAACCAUCAGGUCCCGGACUUUUCCUUGAUGGAAAAGUUUCAGUACUGUCUUAAUGUCA
ensembl:snRNA U2 U2 spliceosomal RNA